rnacentral:rRNA from 1 species
GAUGAACGCUAGCUACAGGCUUAACACAUGCAAGUCUACUUGAUCCUUCGGGUGAUGGUGGCGGACGGGUGAGUAACGCGUAAAGAACUUGCCCUGCAGUCUGGGACAACAUUUGGAAACGAAUGCUAAUACCGGAUAUUAUGUGAGUUUCGCAUGAAAUUCAUAUGAAAGCUAUAUGCGCUGCAGGAGAGCUUUGCGUCCUAUUAGCUAGUUGGUGAGGUAACGGCCCACCAAGGCAACGAUCGGUAGCCGGACUGAGAGGUUGAACGGCCACAUUGGGACUGAGACACGGCCCAG